UAUUAUCAUAAGGAGAUGUAUACUUAGAAUACAGAGGAGGAAUGGAGGCAUAGGAUGUCAAAGAGUGAGGGAGAGCUUGAAUUUGUUAAAAAUUGUGGGGAAAAGACGGGAUGGUUUGUUAAAGAAGAAUGGUAGAAAGUAUAAGCAGUCUGAGCUGUAUGCCAAACCGAAGACAGGAGGAGACAUGGAAGUGAUUGAGGGAGAGGUAUCGGAGGGGGUAGGGUGUGGUGAAGUCCUCAGAGCCUGAAGCUUGCACUGAGGGUCAGGAUAAAGAAAAGUCUGACGGCAGGAGUGACAUUUUUGGAAAAAGCGGCAAACCCAUUUGUGGUUUCGGGGUGGGAGAAAACAGAGUUUGGUGCUGUGGAAUCGGUGAAGGUAACCAGAAGUGGUCUGGUAAUAAUUUAUUGAUUUAUUUAGUUUCUGCUGGUCAGAGGGAGCAGGUGCUCCAUGUUAAAAACAAAUGGGGACAAGAGAGAAAUUGUUGUGCUCUCAAAAGAAAAGGUGCCGUCGAAAGGAGUGAUUACUGGGGUAGCGGUAAAUGUGAAAGUUGACCAACUGAAGGGGAAGAUUCCCGGUGUUUGUGAUGCUCGUCGUUUGGUGCGACGCAUACAGGGUGGGGAAUCAAUACAGAACCUAGACCCAAGACCCGAUCUGGGACUCGAGCGGAUCCGGAUCCAGAAUUCUAAAUAAAUGUCACGGGUCUGAUAUGAUUGUCACGGAAGAGUGGCAUGUGUAGCUUGAUGUUGGCCAAACAUGAGUCACCAAAGCAGCAGUAGGCAACAGUCAUAGAGCCUCUACGCGUGGGGCUCCCUCCUCCUAGUGUCACUCACAGUAGCUUGCUGUGUGCAAGGCCCCUGCUAGAGCGUCACCUCUAUACCUCGUGCUUUAUCAUCUCUGGUUAAUAAAGUAACUUAAAUUGACUUUGCUGCUGCUUCUCUCACUCGGAUCGGGUUUGACCAGGUCUAUGCAAAACAAGUGUAGUUCUAGU